rnacentral:rRNA from 1 species
UACGUAGGGUGCGAGCGUUGUCCGGAAUUAUUGGGCGUAAAGAGCUUGUAGGCGGUCUGUCGCGUCUGCCGUGAAAACCUGGGGCUCAACCCCGGGCGUGCGGUGGAUACUGCCGGGCUAGAGGGUGGUAGAGGCGAGUGGAAUUCCCGGUGUAGCGGUGAAAUGCGCAGAUAUCGGGAGGAACACCAGUAGCGAAGGCGGCUCGCUGGGCCAUUCCUGACGCUGAGACGCGAAAAGCUAGGGGAGCGAACAGG